AGAGUUUGAUCCUGGCUCAGGACGAACGCUGGCGGCGUGCUUAACACAUGCAAGUCGAACGAAGAGCGAUGGAAGCUUGCUUCUAUCAAUCUUAGUGGUGAACGGGUGAGUAACGCGUAAUCAACCUGCCCGUUCAGAGGGGGACAACAGUUGGAAACGACUGCUAAUACCGCAUACGAUCCAAUCUCGGCAUCGAGACUGGAUGAAAGGUGGCCUCAUAUUUAUAAGCUAUCACUGAAGGAGGGGAUUGCGUCUGAUUAGCUAGUUGGAGGGGUAACGGCCCACCAAGGCGAUGAUCAGUAGCCGGUCUGAGAGGAUGAACGGCCACAUUGGGACUGAGACACGGCCCAGACUCCUACGGGAGGCAGCAGUGGGGAAUCUUCCGCAAUGGACGAAAGUCUGACGGAGCAACGCCGCGUGAGUGAUGACGGCCUUCGGGUUGUAAAGCUCUGUUAAUCGGGACGAAUGGUUCUCGUGCAAAUAGUGCGAGGAUUUGACGGUACCGGAAUAGAAAGCCACGGCUAACUACGUGCCAGCAGCCGCGGUAAUACGUAGGUGGCAAGCGUUGUCCGGAAUUAUUGGGCGUAAAGCGCGC
rnacentral:rRNA from 1 species